rnacentral:rRNA from 1 species
UACGUAGGUGGCAAGCGUUAUCCGGAUUUAUUGGGCGUAAAGGGAACGCAGGCGGUCUUUUAAGUCUGAUGUGAAAGCCUUCGGCUUAACCGGAGUAGUGCAUAGGAAACUGGGAGACUUGAGUGCAGAAGAGGAGAGUGGAACUCCAUGUGUAGCGGUAAAAUGCGUAGAUAUAUGGAAGAACACCAGUGGCGAAAGCGGCUCUCUGGUCUGUAACUGACGCUGAGGUUCGAAAGCGUGGGUAGCAAACAGG